rnacentral:sRNA from 1 species
AAGGAGUCUAACAUGUGUGCGAGUGCUCGGGGUUCAACCCCCCAGCGCGUAAUGAAAGUAAAGAUGAGCUUCUGUUCAUUUAGGUAGGAGGCUUCGGCUGCACUAUCGACCGACCAUGAUUCUUUGGAUGAAAGGUUUGAGUGUGAGCAUACAUGUUGGGACCCGAAAGAUGGUGAACUAUGCUUGAGUAGGACGAAGCCAGGGGAAACUCUGGUGGAGGUCCGUAGCGAUUCUAACGUGCAAAUUGAUCGUCGAACUUGGGUAUAGGGGCGAAAGACUAAUCGAACCAUCUAGUAGCUGGUUCCUCC